GACGAACGCUGGCGGCGUGCCUAAUACAUGCAAGUAGAACGCUGAAGAGAGGAGCUUGCUCUUCUUGGAUGAGUUGCGAACGGGUGAGUAACGCGUAGGUACCUGCCUUGUAGCGGGGGGUAACUAUUGGAAACGAUAGCUAAUAACGCAUAACAAUGGAUGACCCAUGUCAUUUAUUUUAAAGGGGCAAUUGCUCCACUUCAAGAUGGACCUGCGUUGUAUUAGCUAGUAGGUGAGGUAAUGGCUCACCUAGGCGACGAUACAUAGCCGACCUGAGAGGGUGAUCGGCCACACUGGGACUGAGACACGGCCCAGACUCCUACGGGAGGCAGCAGUAGGGAAUCUUCGGCAAUGGGGGCAACCCUGACCGAGCAACGCCGCGUGAGUGAAGAAGGUUUUCGGAUCGUAAAGCUCUGUUGUAAGUCAAGAACGGGUGUGAGAGUGGAAAGUUCACACUGUGACGGUAGCUUACCAGAAAGGGACGGCUAACUACGUG
rnacentral:rRNA from 1 species